GGGGAUUAGAGAUGAGCAUGCGCAACAUUAGCUAGUUGGUAAGGUAACGGCUUACCAAGGCUACGAUGUUUAGGGGGUCUGAGAGGAUGAUCCCCCACACUGGUACUGAGACACGGACCAGACUCCUACGGGAGGCAGCAGUAGGGAAUAUUGGGCAAUGGAGGAAACUCUGACCCAGCCAUGCCGCGUGCAGGAUGACGGCCCUCUGGGUUGUAAACUGCUUUUAUACGGGAAGAAAAAAUACUACGUGUAGUAUACUGACGGUACCGUAAGAAUAAGGAUCGGCUAACUCCGUGCCAGCAGCCGCGGUAAUACGGAGGAUCCAAGCGUUGUCCGGAUUUAUUGGGUUUAAAGGGUGCGUAGGCGGAUCUUUAAGUCAGUGGUGAAAGCCUGCAGCUUAACUGUAGAACAGCCAUUGAAACUGAAGAUCUUGAAUUUGGUUAAAGUAGGCGGAAUGUAUCAUGUAGCGGUGAAAUGCUUAGAUAUGAUACAGAACACCGAUAGCGAAGGCAGCUUGCUGAACCAAUAUUGACGCUGAGGCACCGAAAGCGUGGGGAGCGAACAGGAUUAGAU
rnacentral:rRNA from 1 species